GCGCGAGCGCGCUUGUGAUGAUCACGUGUUCCAAUUCUGACAGACCAAAAAACGACUCGACGCCAGGAGAACUGACGUCUGCUUCGGCUUUCUCUCUCGCCCCACGACUGCUGGCCACAAUGGCUUCCAGCACAGCCACCCAGCGCUGCUUCUCAGAAAACCCUGAGGUCAUGAGGUACAGAGUCUGACCGGGCCAGCAUGUUGACUGUGGAGACGACUCCAACUUCAGCACAUAUGGCACAUCUGAACACAUACAAGUGAUCACUUUAUAUCCAUCCAGCACCACGUACUUCCUUUCCCAGCCCUGACCACGCUUCCCAUUUCUGCAGGAGGACAACCACAGUUCCAUGUACACUUAGUGUUUGCUUCUCUUCUGAUGGUGUUCAUGCUCACGGC